GGGGCGGUGGUGUUGAAGGUGGCACGGCGGAGAAAACCCGCAGGCCCGGGUUCAAAGCCCGGCCGCCCCG
rnacentral:tRNA from 1 species